rnacentral:misc_RNA from 1 species
UGAUUGGUUGUUGAUGUAA